GAUGAAGAACGUAGCGAAAUGCGAUAAGUAGUGUGAAUUGCAGAAUUCAGUGAAUCAUCGAAUCUUUGAACGCACAUUGCGCCCCUUGGUAUUCCGGGGGGCAUAUCUGUUCGAGCGUCAUUUCACCACUCAAGCCUGGCUUGGUGUUGGGCGACGUCCUCUUUGGGGACGCGCCUCGAAACGCUCGGCGGCGUGGCACCGGCUUUAAGCGUAGCAGAAUCUUUCGCUUUGGAAGUCGGGGCCCCGUCUGCCGGAAGACCUGCUCGCAAGGUUGACCUCGGAUCAGGCAGGGAUACCCGCUGAACUUAAGCAUAUCAAUAAGCGGAGGA
rnacentral:misc_RNA from 1 species